GAUGAACGCUGGCGGCGUGCCUAAUACAUGCAAGUCGAGCGAAGCGGGGACGGGUGAGUAACACGUGGAUAACCUCCUAUAAGACUGGGAUAACUUCGGGAAACCGGAGCUAAACCGGAUACUUCUAGUUGCAUCCCCGCUGCAUUAGCUAGUUGGUAAGGUAACGGCUUACCAAGGAAAGGAUGCAUAGCCGACCUGAGAGAGUGUUCGGCCACACUGGAACUGAGACACGGACCAGGCUCCUACGGGAGGCAGCAGAAGGGAAUCUGACGCAAUGGGGGAAAGCCUGACGCAACGACGCCGCGUGUGUGAUGAAGGUCUUGGGGUCGGAAAACUCUGUUAUUAGGGAAGCGGUACCUGAUCAAAAAGCCCCGGCUAACUACGUGCCAGCAGCCGCGGUAAUUC
rnacentral:rRNA from 1 species